rnacentral:rRNA from 1 species
UGCCAGCCGCCGCGGUAAUACGGAGGAUGCGAGCGUUAUCCGGAUUUAUUGGGUUUAAAGGGAGCGUAGGUGGGUUAUUAAGUCAGCGUUGUGAAAGUUUGCGGCUCAACCGUAAAAUUGCCGUUGAUACUGAUAGUCUUGAGUUCAGUAGAGGUGUGCGGAAUUCGUGGUGUAGCGGUGAAAUGCUUAGAUAUCACGAAGAAUUCCAAUUGCGAAGGCAGCUCACUAGACUGUAACUGACACUGAUGCUCGAAAGUGUGGGUAUCAAACAGGAUUAGAUA